rnacentral:rRNA from 1 species
AAGGUGGGGAUGACGUCAAAUCAUCAUGCCCUUAUGACCUGGGCUACACACGUGCUACAAUGGGCGGUACAAAGGGUCGCGAACCCGCGAGGGGGAGCCAAUCCCAAAAAGCCGCUCUCAGUCCGGAUUGGAGUCUGCAACUCGACUCCAUGAAGUUGGAAUCGCUAGUAAUCGCAGAGUCAGCACGCUGCGGUGAAUACGUUCCCGGGCCGUU